rnacentral:piRNA from 1 species
UCCAAAUUGCAAGACCUUUACGGGCACUGGA